rnacentral:rRNA from 1 species
UGGGGAAUAUUGGACAAUGGGCGCAAGCCUGAUCCAGCCAUGCCGCGUGAGUGACGAAGGCCUUAGGGUUGUAAAGCUCUUUCGGCGGGGAAGAUAAUGACGGUACCCGCAGAAGAAGCCCCGGCUAACUCUGUGCCAGCAGCCGCGGUAAUACAGAGGGGGCAAGCGUUGUUCGGAAUCACUGGGCGUAAAGCGCACGUAGGUGGAUAGUUAAGUUCGGGGUGAAAUCCCAGGGCUCAACCCUGGAACUGCCUCGGAUACUGGCUAUCUCGAGUCCGGAAGAGGUGAGUGGAAUUCCUAGUGUAGAGGUGAAAUUCGUAGAUAUUAGGAAGAACACCGGUGGCGAAGGCGGCUCACUGGUCCGGUACUGACACUGAGGUGCGAAAGCGUGGGGAGCAAACAGGAUUAGAUACCCAGGUAGUCCCUGAGCGGGCUGGCAAGGCGCAU